UAAAGGCCUAGAAUUUUUUUUUUUUUAUGUUAUACUUUCAGAACAGCAGAGGCAUGUAAAAUUUUCCAAGACUCUAGGUUCUUUAAAGAAUAGCCCAAGUGUUCCGGGAAGGCGUCCAUCUCGGGUAACUUAGCUGACAGUACAUUUCCACAACCUCUAGAGGCUUACCAGUGGAGGACAAGUUUUGCUCUUAUUAAGUAAUUUCAAGACUUUAAACAUAAUGUUAACCAUCACAAAAUGAAGUGUACAGAUAGCUGGACCGUGUACCCUAUAGAAAGAUAACAUAACUGUAAUCAGUUAUUUGUCACAUCAAACUCUGAGAGAAGUCCUUAAAGUCAUAGUCAUCUUUUCAAACAUGUGAAUUUGAUAACAGUAUCUGGCCUCCUGCUUUGGGUAAGGUGGCUGGCUGGAGAAAUACUCUUCCAGAAAGAGAGAGUGUUUUGUAGCUGGGAAAUACAGCAUUUAGAUUUGGCCUCAGCUUUUAAGAAGAUAGGCAUGUUCAUCUGGGCCUGGGAUCUUGAGUCAUAAGAGUUUUUAAUCACUGUUCCCACCUCGUUUAAGUUGUUGAUCUCUUCGUCUGAGUUUGGGAAUUUGCAUGAACAAACACCUGGAUUUCUUUUAGGUUUUCUAACCUGUAACCUGACAGUGUAGAUUUUUAAAGCAUUCACUUAGAAUAUUCUGAAAUCAUGUUUAGUAUAAGUUUUACCUGUUUACUUGAAUUUGCUGAUUUGGGCAUAAAGUCCAAGAUUUCCUCCUCACCCUAAGUUCCAAAAAUAACUCUGAAAUUCAAAAUAUAUAUUUAUAAAUUCUUGACCAAUUAGCCUUGGCUGGUUCCCUGGUAGCUUAUAAGUUGAUAACCCAUUUAUUCUAAUCUAAGUUCUGUCAUGUGGCUGGUUACCUGGUCCUUAGCUUCAUGAGACGAUACUCAUCUUCUGCAGGACAACUCUCCCACCAGGCUCUCUCCCAGAAUCCUUACUGCAUAGUGGGUGUCCACCUUUUAUUUCUUGCCUCAGCUGCAGACCAAUCAGCUUUAAUUGACAGGUGUUGCAUCCAUAAUCUCUUUAUAUUUAGGUCACCUCAUUGUUGUUGUAUCAAGGUUCUGUUGUUAACCAGAUUUUAGAAUCAUUGAGUCUUCAUAGAAUUUCGUUUCUGUGUCAUUAACUUCCCAGUUCUUAUUUUUACUAUUUCUUGACAUCAACAAGGCAAUAUGGUUUUAGUUUGGUUUGUUCUUGUUAUUCCAAAUUAUUGAUAUGUAUCAGCAAGUCACUUAUUUGUGUUCUUGCCUUUUUAUUUUUUAAUGUAGGAUGUGCAGAGUCAUACAGGAAUAGGAAAUUUCAGUAGGGACAAUUUUGCACUGGGAGCUGAUGCUGUGAUCUGAUCUGUGCCCUCUACAGACACCUGAGGUUGAAGGGGUUUUUUGUUUGGUUGGUUCUUUUUUGAAGGGUUUUUUGUUUUGGUUUGGUUUGGUUUGGUUUGGUUUGGUUUGGUUUUUUGGUUUGGUUUGGUUUGGUUUGGUUUGGUUUGGUUUGGUUUGGUUUGGUUUGGUUUGGUUUGGUUUUUUGAGACAGGGUUUCUCUGUGUAGCCCUGGCUGUCCUGGAACUCACUAACCCUAACUCUGUAGACCAGGUUGGCCUAGAACUCAGAAAUCUCCCUGCCUCUGCCUCCCGAGUGCUGGGAUUAAGGCAUGCACCACCACUGCCCAGCAGAAGGUGGUUCUUGAACCACUCAGACAUAAUCUGUUCCUACUCAGUCAUGUGUAUGAAGAUAUUUUUGAGUCAUUUUUACUCCUUCCUAAAUGAUUUGAUGGCUGCCAGGGCCUCUCCUACUCCUUUCGCUAACUUUUCAAUUUGGCUGGGUAUAGUAGCUGGGUAUAGCAGGGCAUUCAACUUUUCUAGGUAUAACAGGGUAGCCUUGCUGGUUGUCAAGUCACUUAACUUCAUGCACUUAUGGUCUACCAUUCUUUGCUUUUCUGACAAUUAGAUUUGCCAAGGUUAUUCUGUAUGCCCACAACACAUUAGAUGGUAGCAGCCAGUUAAUAAAGAAAUAAUUCAUGAAGAACUUUAGUUGGAAGAGUAGAGAAAAAAUACCUUAGCAGGUCAAAUGGUGCUAUAAAGGCCUGUUCUGGUCACUUGGUUGUAGCUCCCUUCACCCCAACACCAGGUCCUUUUUCUUCACCCUGGGCAAAAAAACACAUCCACCAUUCCAUACACUAAGAUAAAAGCACAGACUGUGGGUCCCAACAAGGAAGGAAGGAAGGAUUUUUUCACUUUGUAUUUUGACAUCUUUGACUACCAUGUGUCCAGCAAAGGUUCUUCUUGGUCCUGUCUGGGUUUCUAAAUGCUUGAGCUUGUAUGUAAAGUUUUCAUUAUUCUGUCCUGCUGGGGCUGCUUCAUUGAACAAGAGGGCUUCCAACAUAGAUAAGGGCACCCAGUAAAUAAUUGUUGGUCCUUUGGACAUUCUUGUGAGAAGUGAGGAGAAAAAGGAGAAAAGAACUUUUUAGAAUAUUUUUUAUUCAUUGACAAUUUCAUAUACCUAUACAGUUUAUCUUGAUUAUAUCCAACCCAACUUGAAACAUGUUGUGUAUGUGUUUAUAUAUGUGUGUAUGUAAGUAACCUGUUCUGUUCAGUUAGUGCUGCAUGUGCAUGGGUCUGGGAGAAUGAAAACGUACUAUAAAGCUGAUAUCUCAAGUCAGUGUAAAAUGAGUCAAGAUGUCAGGACAGGCUACUUCUACAAAAGUUAGAUUUAGCCUCAAAUCAUAUAUGAGGGUAAAUUACAUACAUAUUAAAGAUUGUGGCUAAUUGUGACAAAAAUCAUAAGGGCAUCAUACUAGAAUUUCAUGUUUAAUAACAUAAUUGAGAAUAACACUCCCCCGCCCCAUAUAAAUCCUGAAAUCAGAAACAAAAAAGCAAAACUUAAGGAAGGCAAUUUAAAGUCUAGAAAGCCCAGGGUAGACACUUAGAACCUGAAACAGUGUAUAUCCUAAGUACACAGUGGUCUCUCACAAGUCAGUGAAGCAGAGACAGAGAUAGAAGCCAAAUACCAAAUAUCAAGGCAACCAGCAGAUACGGGAGGGGCAUUGGUGGGUGUGCGCCAGGGCUUUGUGUACCUGUCAUCCUCAGAGGAGACUGGCUGGUUCUCACUGAGCCUUUCCUUUAUUGGCCAAUGUAUGCGUGUACUCAUGUAUGUACUUAUGUAUGUAUGUAACCUGUUGAGUUCAAUUAGUGCUUCCGAUGCUCACAACAUGCAAACCCUUAUCAAAUUGUAAACUUCAUAUUUGUGUAUGGCAGUUACACUUUUUUUAAAACGUCUUUUGAGUAGUUUUCUCUGCACUCUAGAAAGUGAAUCAGAAAACAGGGUUUAAAUAUCUUAUAUGCAAAGUUUUCAUGUUUCUAUUUGUGUGUUUAGUUGUAUCGAGCUCUGGUGAUUAUAACCAGCUUGUGUAUUGCAGUACAUUGCUGUGUAUCUGCUGCUCUGUGUGAGGCCCUCAGUGCCUGGCACAUGGCCUUACUUGGGAUGGAAUAUAUAGCGUCAAUAAACUCUUUCCUC
rnacentral:lncRNA from 1 species